GCUCCGUUGGCGAACCAGCGGAGGGAUCAUUACCGAGUUUACAACUCCCAAACCCCUAUGUGAACGUUACCAAACUGUUGCCUCGGCGGGAAAUUCAUGCCCCGGGCGCGUCGCAGCCCCGGACCAAGGCGCCCGCCGGAGGACCAACCAAAACUCUUUUGUAUGUCCCUCGCGGACUUUUAUAAUUCUGAACCAUCUCGGCGCCCCUAGCGGGCGUUUCGAAAAUGAAUCAAAACUUUCAACAGCGGAUCUCUUGGUUCUG
rnacentral:misc_RNA from 1 species